AUUUUGUACAAACAAUCUGUCAU
rnacentral:snRNA from 1 species